CCUGUAUGGGGUUUUGCUCUCAAGAGAACAGUACAGACACGUACCCUUCUACAUUGCCUAAAGAGUAAAGCUUAUAUGGCAUCAGAUUUGGACUUAAUGCCACAUACAGGGAGUGAGUGGAAGAACAAAAAUUUAAAGCUCCCAUUACAGAGAAAGAUCUAAUAGGAUUAACAAGAGGCAAACCAAGUGAACUCCAAGAUGAAGUGACUACAGCUUUGAUGAUCAUAGGAAUACAAAGAAGCUGUUGAAAUCUAUAACUAGAAUAAAAGGAUCUUCAAUCAGACAAGAAAUCAUAGG